rnacentral:misc_RNA from 1 species
UACAGAGGGUGCUAGCGUUGUUCGGAAUGACUGGGCGUAAAGGGCGCGUAGGCGGCUUUUUAAGUCAGGCGUGAAAUCCCCGGGCUCAACCUGGGAACGGCGUUUGAAACUAGAGAGCUAGAGAGCGGAAGAGGAAAGUGGAAUUCCUAGUGUAGAAGUGAAAUUCGUAGAUAUUAGGAGGAACACCAGAGGCGAAGGCGACUUUCUGGUCCGCCACUGACGCUGAGGCGCGAAAGCGUGGGGAGCAAACAGG